rnacentral:rRNA from 1 species
AAAUCAACCUGCUGAAUUUAAGCAUAUAAGUAGGCGGUGGAAAAUGAACCAAAUGGGAUCCCUUUAAUAAUUGCGAAUGAAUGAGGAUGUGCUCAGCUUGAAAACUGCAGCUCCUGAGCUUGAAUUGUAAUGUUGCAUUGUACCACCAGCAAAGGUGCAGGUGCAAGCCUGUUGAAAGACAGCGUCGAUGAGGGUGAGAUUCCUGUUCGUCAUCUGCAACCCCCUGUGCACGGUAUACAUUUGGCGAGUCACAUUCCUUGGCAUUGGAAUGCUAAUUGGGUGGUAAAUUCCAUGCAAAGGUAAAUAUGUUAUUGAGUCUGAUAACUAACAAGUACCAUGAGGGAAAUAUGAAAAGGAUUUUGAAAAGAGAAUUAAAAGAGCCUGCAUUUGCUGAACAGAAAGCAAACAGAAGUGUUUCACUUGGUGGGAUUGUUGUGCUUAUGUUUGCAUUUAUGUGUUGAACAUGUGUGCAGUGGGUCUUACCUUGGGUGUCAAUUUCAUUUCUGCUUAUCAUGAACCUUGCUUAUGAAAGGUAAGGUGCCUGUGGGUGCUGGGUUGCUUGUGCUUGCAAUGACAGGUAAUUUGACACAUUGUUUAGGUAUGUGAACUGCAUUCAUAUGUUAUAAAUAUGUAUUUUCUGAAUGAGAGCAUAUGUCAAUCAAUGCCUUUGGCAACAUGUUUCUGCUUGACCCGUCUUGUAACACGGACCAAGGAGUCUAACAGAUGUGCAAGCUAUUGGGUGUGUAUACCUUCUAGCGCAAUGAAAGUGAUUGCUGGGAUGUUUGCACCAGCAGGCGACUGAUUAGUGGUCAGAGGUUUGAGUGUGAGUAUGUUUAUUAGGACCCGAAAGAUGGUGAACUAUGCCUGAACAGAAUGAAUUCAGAGGAAACUCUGAUGGAAGUUCGUAUCGAUACUGACGUGCAAAUCGUUCGUCAUACUUGGGUAUAGGGGCGAAAGACUAAUCGAACCAUC